rnacentral:rRNA from 1 species
CAAGGACGAACGCUGGCGGCGUGCCUAACACAUGCAAGUCGAACGGAACUAUUUGACUGAUUCCUCGGGAUGAAGAAUUUUAGUUAGUGGCGGACGGGUGAGUAACGCGUGAGUAACCUGCCUCUGAGAGGGGAAUAACGUUCUGAAAAGAACGCUAAUACCGCAUAACACAUAUUUGCCGCAUGACAGAUAUGUCAAAGAUUUUUGUCGCUCGGAGAUGGACUCGCGUCCGAUUAGUUAGUUGGUGAGGUAACGGCUCACCAAGACCGCGAUCGGUAGCCGGACUGAGAGGUUGAACGGCCACAUUGGGACUGAGACACGGCCCAGACUCCUACGGGAGGCAGCAGUGGGGGAUAUUGCGCAAUGGGGGCAACCCUGAACCGCAGCAACGCCGCGUGAAGGAUGAAGGUUUUCGGAUUGUAAACUUCUUUUAUCAGGGACGAAAUUUGACGGUACCUGAUGAAUAAGCUCCGGCUAACUACGUGCCAGCAGCCGC